UUGACACGGAGGGCGUCGGAGUUCUGGCGAGAGUACGCCGGGACGGGGUCCGUCUAUUGUUAGUAGCCCCGUUCUGGCCGGGCCGAGUAUGGUUCGCAGAUCUGGUCUCGCUCCUCGACGGCUCUCCUUGGGAGAUACCGAUCAGGACAGACCUACUCUCACAGGCGCAGGGCACGAUAAUUCACCCUCGCCCGGAGCUGUGGAAGCUGUGGGUGUGGCCCCUGAGGGGGCGCAGUUCAUAGCAUCCGGUCUCUCAACCGAGGUUGUUGAGACCCUCCUCCAAUCCAGAGCUCCCUCAACGAGGAAACUGUACGCCCUGAGGUGGAAACUCUUCACCUCAUGGUGCAGAAACCGCCAGCUAGACCCAGUAAACUGCCCAGUCGGUACAGUUCUGGAGUUCCUACAGGCCAGGUUCUCUGCAGGGUUGACCCACUCCACGUUGAAGGUCUACGUGGCGGCCAUUGCGGCCUACCACGCCCUUCUCGAUGGUCAGUCUUUGGGAAGACACCCAUUAGUUACACGUUUCCUCCGCGGUGCGCUGAGGCUGAGACCUCCAGUACGGUCCCGUAUUCCCCCGUGGGACUUGGUUGUGGUGCUAGAGGCCUUGUGCAGACCUCCAUUUGAGCCUAUUCAAGAUAUUUCAGACAGACAUCUGACACUCAAAACCGCCUUUCUGUUGGCCAUUACCUCUCUGAGGAGAGUAGGAGAUUUGCAGGCCCUCUCAGUGGCCCCUACAUAUCUGGACUUUGCACCUGGCAUGACCAAAGCGUUCAUAUACCCUCGAGCGGGAUAUGUUCCUAAGGUCCCCUCUGUCACACCACAACCUGUAGUGCUGCAGGCUUUCUGUCCUCCUCCCUUUCGGGAGCCCGACCAAGAGAAGCUAAACUGUAUGUGUCCAGUUCGAGCACUGGACGCAUACGUCCACAGAGCUGCCCUGUGGAGAAAAACAGACCAAUUGCUUGUAUGCUAUGGUCCCCCCAAGAGGGGUUCUCCUGCUUCUAAGCAGUCUAUUAGUCGUUGGAUAGUCGAGGCUAUCAACGCCACCUAUGAGUCCUCUGGUCCUCCCCCGUUGUUGGGAGCCAAGGCUCACUCCACACGGGGUAUGGCGGCCUCCAAGGCCUUUUUCGCAGGUGUUUCCAUGCUGGACAUCUGCAACGCUGCGGGGUGGUCCACGCCCUCUACAUUCGCAAGAUUUUAUGGCUUAGACAUGCCGGUCACUCCAGGCGCAUCCGUCCUCUCGUCCUAAGCUGUGCUCUGCGGAUACACACUAGGCAGGGGUUUGGUAGUCUGGCAGCGUUGGUACUCGUUCCCCAAAGCGUUCGACGCAGCUCGAGUUCCUGAAGAGGAACGUCUCUAGGUUACGUAUGUAACCCUAGUUCCUCGAGGGAACGAGACGCUGCGUCUCGGAGCCAUACCCCCGGCACCCCUGCCGGCGCUUGCUGGUACUCGAAGCUGAUGCCAGCUGCGCGGCAUGUGCUUUUAUAGCUUCCUGGUCGCUUACGUCACCCCGCCCGUGACGUCACGCUCUUUCAUUGGACUGAUUUCACACGAUAUUCAGAGUCGCUCACGCUAGACGCGUUCCCCAAAGCGUUCGACGCAGCGUCUCGUUCCCUCGAGGAACUAGGGUUACAUACGUAACCUAGAGACGUU
ensembl:lncRNA